rnacentral:lncRNA from 1 species
GCAGUUGCUCCUCCUCACCCUCCGCGACCUGAUUUCCUAGAAGGGCUCUGUCACCCGAAAAGAUUUUCCACUGGCUUAGAGGAGGGAGGGCCCGCCUUCCCCCGUUAUCCAUUGGCUGCUCGUUCCGCCGCAAGUUGGGGGCGGGGUUAGGGCGCCUUUCGAUUGCAUCAGCUGGUCCAGCCGAGGCCAAGUCCCGGGCGCUAGCCCACCUCCCACCCGCCUCUUGGCUCCUCUCCUCUAGGCCGUCGCUUUCGGGUUCUCUCAUCGCUUCGUCGUUCGCCAAUGUUUGAGGAGAAGGCCAGCAGUCCUUCAGGGAAGAUGGGAGGCGAGGAGAAGCCGAUUGGUGCUGGUGAAGAGAAGCAAAAGGAAGGAGGCAAAAAGAAGAACAAAGAAGGAUCUGGAGAUGGAGGUCGAGCUGAGUCAUUACAGCUGUUUUAUUGGAGACUCUUUAGAAAGCUACCAGAAGGAAGAAGCACAAAGGAACAGCCUUUUUAGAAGUAGCACAGUAAGCUGGCUUUUAAGAGCCACUUUUACAAAUGCUGCAAUUGCUAA